AGUGAACGCUGGCGGUAGGCCUAACACAUGCAAGUCGAACGGCAGCACAGUAAGAGCUUGCUCUUACGGGUGGCGAGUGGCGGACGGGUGAGGAAUACAGCGGAAUCUACUUUUUCGUGGGGGAUAACGUAGGGAAACUUACGCUAAUACCGCAUACGACCUACGGGUGAAAGCAGGGGAUCUUCGGACCUUGCGCGACUGAAUGAGCCGAUGUCGGAUUAGCUAGUUGGCGGGGUAAAGGCCCACCAAGGCGACGAUCCGUAGCUGGUCUGAGAGGAUGAUCAGCCACACUGGAACUGAGACACGGUCCAGACUCCUACGGGAGGCAGCGGUGGGGAAUAUUGGACGAUGGGCGCAAGCCUGAUCCAGCCAUACCGCGUGGGUGAAGAAGGCCUUCGGGUUGUAAAGCCCUUUUGUUGGGAAAGAAAAGCAGCAGGUUAAUACCCCGCUGUUCUGACGGUACCCAAAGAAUAAGCACCGGCUAACUUCGUG
rnacentral:rRNA from 1 species